rnacentral:rRNA from 1 species
UGGGGAAUCUUGCGCAAUGCGCGAAAGCGUGACGCAGCAACGCCGCGUGGGGGAAGAAUGCCUUCGGGUUGUAAACCCCUUUCAGGAGGGACGAAGGUUCACCCGGUGAAUAGCCGGGAGGACUGACGGUACCUCCACAAGAAGCUCCGGCUAACUACGUGCCAGCAGCCGCGGUAAUACGUAGGGGGCAAGCGUUGUCCGGAAUCAUUGGGCGUAAAGCGCGCGUAGGCGGCCCGAUAAGUCUGCUGUGAAAGUCCAGGGCUCAACCCUGGAAUGCCGGUGGAUACUGUCGGGCUAGAGUUCGGAAGAGGCAAGUGGAAUUCCUGGUGUAGCGGUGGAAUGCGCAGAUAUCAGGAGGAACACCUAUAGCGAAGGCAGCUUGCUGGGACGACACUGACGCUAAGGCGCGAAAGCGUGGGGAGCGAACAG